rnacentral:rRNA from 1 species
GCCUAUAUGAAGUCGGAAUUGCUAGUAAUCNCGGAUCAGCAUGCCGCGGUGAAUACGUUCCCGGGCCUUGUACACACCGCCCGUCACACCAUGAGAGUCGAUAACACCCGAAGCCUGUAGUCUAACAGCAAUGAGGACGCAGUCGAAGGUGGGAUUGAUAAUUAGGGUGAAGUCGUAACAAGGUAUC